rnacentral:rRNA from 1 species
UACGAGAGGUGCAAGCGUUGUCCGGAUUUAUUGGGCGUAAAGCGUUUCUAAAGGCGCUUUUGUAAGUUAUCUUUUAAAGACCAAGGCUCAACCUUGGGAAGGGAGGUAAUACUGCAAGAGUUGAAAUAUUUCGGGGUUACUGGAACUAUCGGUGUAGGGGUGAAAUCCGUUGAUAUCGAUAGGAACUCCAAGGGCGAAGGCAGGUAACUAGGAAUUUUUUGACGCUGAUGAACGAAAGCUAGGGGAGCGAAAGGG